GCAUAUCAAUAAGCGGAGGAAAAGAAACUAACUAGGAUUCCCUUAGUAACGGCGAGUGAACUGGGAUGAGCUCAAAUUUGAAAUCUGGCGUCUUUCAGGCGUCCGAGUUGUAAUCUAUAGAGGCGUUUUCCGCGCCGGACCGCGUCCAAGUCUCUUGGAAUAGAGUAUCAAAGAGGGUGACAAUCCCGUACUUGACGCGACAACCGGUGCUCUGUGAUACGUUCUCAACGAGUCGAGUUGUUUGGGAAUGCAGCUCUAAAUGGGUGGUAAAUUCCAUCUAAGGCUAAAUAUUGGCGAGAGACCGAUAGCGAACAAGUACCGUGAGGGAAAGAUGAAAAGCACUUUGGAAAGAGAGUUAAACAGCACGUGAAAUUGUUAAAAGGGAAACGAUUGAAGUCAGUCGUGUGGGAGGUAUUCAGCCGUCUCUGACGGUGUAUUUGCCUCUCACGGGUCAACAUCAGUUUGGCUCGGUAGAAAAAGGCGGGAGGAAGGUGGCACCCUCGGGUGUGUUAUAGCCUCCUGUCAUAUGUGCCGGGCCAGACUGAGGAACGCAGCUUGCAGCAAUGCCGGGGUUCGCCCACGUCCAAGCUUAGGAUGUUGACAUAAUGGCUUUAAACGACCCGUCUUGAAACACGGACC
rnacentral:rRNA from 1 species